GAUGAACGCUGGCGGCGUGCCUAAUACAUGCAAGUCGAGCGAACAGACGAGGAGCUUGCUCCUCUGACGUUAGCGGCGGACGGGUGAGUAACACGUGGAUAACCUACCUAUAAGACUGGGAUAACUUCGGGAAACCGGAGCUAAUACCGGAUAAUAUAUUGAACCGCAUGGUUCAAUAGUGAAAGACGGUUUUGCUGUCACUUAUAGAUGGAUCCGCGCCGCAUUAGCUAGUUGGUAAGGUAACGGCUUACCAAGGCAACGAUGCGUAGCCGACCUGAGAGGGUGAUCGGCCACACUGGAACUGAGACACGGGCCAGACUCCUACGGGAGGCAGCAGUAGGGAAUCUUCCGCAAUGGGCGAAAGCCUGACGGAACAACGCCGCGUGAGUGAUGGAGGUCUUCGGAUCGUAAAACUCUGUUAUUAGGGAAGAACAAAUGUGUAAGUAACUAUGCACGUCUUGACGGUACCUAAUCAGAAAGCCACGGCUAACUACGUG
rnacentral:rRNA from 1 species